rnacentral:rRNA from 1 species
ACAGCAGCCGCCGCGGGAAUACAGAGGGUGCGAGCGUUAAUCGGAUUUACUGGGCGUAAAGCGUGCGUAGGCGGCUUCUUAAGUCGGAUGUGAAAUCCCUGAGCUUAACUUAGGAAUUGCAUUCGAUACUGGGAAGCUAGAGUAUGGGAGAGGAUGGUAGAAUUCCAGGUGUAGCGGUGAAAUGCGUAGAGAUCUGGAGGAAUACCGAUGGCGAAGGCAGCCAUCUGGCCUAAUACUGACGCUGAGGUACGAAAGCAUGGGGAGCAAACAGGAUUAGAUACCACAGUAGUCCCUGUCUCUUAUAC